AGGAUUCCCCUAGUAACUGCGAGUGAAGCGGGAAAAGCUCAAAUUUGAAAUCUGGCAGUCUUUUUUUUCUUCUUUGGCUGUCCGAGUUGUAAUCUAGAGAAGUGCUUACCUGCGCUGGACCAUGUAUAAGUCUCCUGGAAUGGAGCGUCACAGAGGGUGAGAAUCCCGUCUUUGACAUGGACUGCCAGUGUGUUGUGGUGUGCUCUCAAAGAGUCGAGUUGUUUGGGAAUGCAGCUCUAAAUGGGUGGUAAACUCCAUCUAAAGCUAAAUAUUGGCGAGAGACCGAUAGUGAACAAGUACCGUGAGGGAAAGAUGAAAAGGACUUUGGAAAGAGAGUUAAACAGUAUGUGAAAUUGUUGAAAGGGAAACGCUUGAAGUCAGUUAUGUUGGCUAGGGAUCAACCUAGCUAAUUUUUUUGCUGGGUGAAUUUCCUAGUCUGACAGGCCAACAUCAGUCUUGACUGCUGGAAAAGAGCAGAGGGAAUGUGGCACCUUUGGGUGUGUUAUAGCCCUUUGUCAUAUGUGGCAGUUGGGACUGAGGGAUGCAGCAUGCCGUGAGGCUGGGUUUUUAACCACGUUCAUGCUUAGGAUGUUGGCUUUUAAUGGCUUCAAUCGACCCGUCUUGAAACACGGACCAAGGAGUCUAACAUGCCUGCGAGUGUUUGGUGGGGAAAACCCUUGUGCACAAUGAAAGUGAAAGUUGAGAUCCCUGUCAUGGGGAGCAUCGACGCCCGGACCUGAGCUUUUAGCGACGGAUCCGCGGUAGAGCAUGCAUGUUGGGACCCGAAAGAUGGUGAACUAUGCCUGAAUAGGGCAAAGCCAGAGGAAACUCUGGUGGAGGCUCGUAGCGAUUCUGACGUGCAAAUCGAUCGUCAAAUUUGGGUAUAGGGGCGAAAGACUAAUCGAACCAUCUAGUAGCUGGUUCCUGCCGAAGUUUCCCUCAGGAUAGCAGAAGCUUAUUAUCAGAUUUAUGUGGUAAAGCGAAUGAUUAGAGGCCUUGGGGUUGAAACAACCUUAACCUAUUCUCAAACUUUAAAUAUGUAAGAACGAGUUGUCACU
rnacentral:rRNA from 1 species